rnacentral:rRNA from 1 species
UACGUAGGGUGCAAGCGUUAAUCGGAAUCACUGGGCUUAAAGGGCGCGUAGGCGGGCAAGCAAGUCGAAGGUGAAAUCCCACGGCUCAACCGUGGAAGUGCCCCCGAUACUGCUUGUCUUGAGGGAGAUAGGGGCGUGCGGAACUUCCGGUGGAGCGGUGAAAUGCGUAGAUAUCGGAAGGAACACCGGUGGCGAAAGCGGCGCGCUGGAUCUCUUCUGACGCUGAGGCGCGAAAGCCAGGGGAGCAAACGGG